rnacentral:rRNA from 1 species
CGCAACGGGAGGAGCGUGCGGUUUAAUUGGAUUCAACACCGGGAAGCUCACCAAGGGCGACUGUCACAUGGAGGCCAGGCCGAUGACCUUGCCGGAUUCUCAGAGAGGUGGUGCAUGGCCGUCGUCAGUUCGUACCGUAAGGCGUUCUCUUAAGUGAGAUAACGAACGAGACCCUCACCGAUAAUUGCUAUCCCAUCCUCCGGGGUGGGGGCACAUUAUCGGGACCGCUGGCGCUAAGCCAGAGGAAGGAGAGGUCAACGGUAGGUCAGUAUGCCCCGAAUCUCUUGGGCUACACGCGCGCUACAAAGGGCGGGACAAUGGGCUCCGACGCCGAGAGGCGGAGGCAAUCCCGAAACCCGUCCGUAGUUCGGAUUGAGGGCUGCAACCCGCCCUCAUGAAGCUGGAUUCCGUAGUAAUCGCGAAUCAAAAACUCGCGGUGAAUAUGCCCCU